UACAGAGGUCUCAAGCGUUGUUCGGAUUCAUUGGGCGUAAAGGGUGCGUAGGCGGCGUGGUAAGUCGGGUGUGAAAUCUCGGAGCUUAACUCCGAAACUGCAUUCGAUACUGCCGUGCUUGAGGACUGGAGAGGAGACUGGAAUUUACGGUGUAGCGGUGAAAUGCGUAGAUAUCGUAAGGAAGACCAGUGGCGAAGGCGGCUUGCUGGACCUGGUCUGACGCUGAGGCGCGAAAGCGUGGGGAGCGAACAGG
rnacentral:rRNA from 1 species